AAGUGUUAAUUUUUGUUUUAACUUUCAGGCGGCCAGAGACUUCCUUCCUGUGGUUCACUUCCCCAUGGAAGACACUGAAAUUCAUCAUCUGGCACAACUACAAAUGGUACAUACUUGGAUUCUUUCUCAUUCUCCUCCUCAUCCUCUUCAUUGGCCUCAUCCUCUACAGCAUCCCAGGAGCCUCUGUCAACAAAGUGCUUGGCGUCGGCACAUAAAAAUGAAACACAAGAAAGAAUAUGGAAAUCAUGCAAGAAAAAAAUUUAAGAACCUCGCAUUGAUAUCUCUUAAUAUGCAUUUUUAUAAUGAUAAUGAUGAGAAAGUACUUGGCAAAAAAUUAAUUCAAAAGUACACAGAAUAGAUUACUUUUUAGAUUAGGAACUUUAGCAGGCCUUGACAUAGCAUUUAUUUACAAUUCAAAGCCUUAUUGAUAAGAUAACAUAUAUUGGUAUAUAUUUUCAUACGCUAGGAUCUUUACCUGCUAAAUGUGUACGUUGAUGAAAAAUAAAAAUUUAAAAUGUGAAAUAUAUAGAAAAUGAAUGUAUUGGACUCACUGUAGUUUUCCGCCAAAUUAUAUCUGUUGAAAUGGGUCUUCCUAUUCCUUUCAAUUCUGGGUCCAAAUCUCUUUGUCUUCCACAAUUACAAAUGAGGAUAUUUUUUCUUUAAUAUAAAGUCGGAAGAAGUCCAUUCCAUGAAAUUUGAUUGAAUAUUUCUUAAACAAUAUAGUCAUUUUAAGUUAAUUUGAUUAUAUUUAGGUGUUUUUGUAAUUUUGUGGUUGGACAGUACACCAUAAAGCAUAUGUGAUGAAUUUUCUAUUGUUGAAAUAAGGAAUAAUAAGUGAGUGUGAGUAAUAGUUUUUCUGUACUACAGUUAUGUUAUCACAAAUAAAUGUCUUUUACUUCAUUACAGUUUUGAUGUGUGUCAUUAUUAGGUGAAUGUCAGUGGGGGUGGGGCAGAAAUGGUGGCCUAUGGGUCAAAUAAACACUGUCGUAAAAAAAAAAUACUGUAUAAUAGAAUGAUAAAUUUUCAUUUUCCUAAAUACUUACUUAUUUCAAAGUCGGAUUUGCUGGUUUCUCAGGAAUUUUUGGCCCCUGUAAAUUGGCCUUCCUCAGCAUAAAUUAAUAACUCCUUCACCACAACCAGAUUUUGUCGCCUCUCCUGUUCAAGGAAAUUCCACGCAGAGAACGCCAAAUUCUUUUAAAUUCAUGAAAAAUGCUUAAGAACUUGUGAGAUCUGAAACAUCUGUAGACCUAUUUUUUAAUAAAUUUUAACAUAGAUUUCAACCAAACAAGAUAUGUAUUGUAUUGAAUCAGGUGAAUUUUGUUUCAUAGAAUCGAUAUUAAACAAUAAUUAUGUUAAUAUGCUGAUAUUGAGUUGGGGAUGCUGAUAUUUUUUCAAUUAAAUUUCUUUACUUUAUAGCAAGUCAUUAGUAGUUUUUGUUAUUUUUCCCACGAUGGUAAUUAAAUAAUCUAGUUGCUUGAAUGGGGGAAAAAAUGGUUGAUGAAAUAGACAUGGGAUUUGAUAUUAUUUGUUUGGAUCAUGAUACCAUAUCAAUUCAAUAUUUUUUCUUUAUUGGAACAUCAGGAAUUCCUAAUGAUUUUUAAUAAACAACAACGAAAUGUUAAAUCAAUAUGGCUUCACUCAGUCUGGUUGGAGUUAUUUAAUAUCAGAAUAUAUUCAGUGGAUUAGUUUUUUUGUUUGUUUUUGUUUUUGUUUUUUUGCUUUGCCUAUUUUAAUUUUAAAAAAAUAUACGAUAUAAUAGCUCAAUUUAGUACUCAAUAACAAAAUGCGUAUAUUUUCCAAGGACGAUGUAUUUUAAAAGCAAUAUAAUAACGAUGAUGGUGGUGAUGUACUAUCAGUCAAAAUACACGAAAAUACCUAUAAAAAAAAAUUUAAAAAAAAUUAGUAGCUCGUUUAAAAGAAUCAAAUAAAUAUAACCAUUCAAGGAACAGAUCGAAAAAAGAAAUGUUUUCACCAAUUUACAGGCAUUUUACUACAAAUUCCUUAAGUUGACUUGCAAUCGAUUUUUGUAUUAAAAUGUCUGUAAAUCGGUGAAAACAUUUUUUUAUCUGUUUCUCAUUAGAAGCUUAUACGGUAAUUCAAUUGAUCCUUUAAAUGAGCUUUUCAAUAUUUUAUUUGAAUUUUUAAGGUUAUUUUCCUGUUUUGUGACUGAUAGUACAUCAUUAGCAGUGGUGAUAAUGAUUAUCAUGUUAUAAAUAAUUGUAACAUAAUAAAAACAUUGACGGAUAAAAAAAUAGGUGUGGUUUGAAUAGCUAAACUUAGAUCUACAGUCCUCAAUGAGAAACUACAGUCGUGGGACAAAUAGUAUUUAAAUUUAACUAUUUUCAUAAUUGUAGAGUUAACAAAUUUGAUAAUAUAAUAAUAUAUGUUUUUGCCACUGUAGUCUUUUAUUUUUAAGAGAGAAAAAAAAAAGUUCUAAAUGUUAGAAAAUAUUUCGUAAUACAAUAUAGGCCAGCUGAACAAGAAUCAUUUUUUGGAUGCUUAUUUUUAUCUGUAUAAUAUUACAUCUGAUCUUAUAUGUAAUUGGUGCCCCAUCGUUUAAAAAAAAAAUUGUAUUAGCCCUGUCAAGAGUGUGUUGUAUAAUAUCCGAGUACCUGUAUAUCAUAAAAACGUGUAUGCCUAGAUUUUAUUUAAUAUUGGUAACUAGAGUAUUACGUUAUGACGUAGCGUGAUUUUAUAGUUGCGAGUAUAACAUCGUACGAUGUGAGGGCGUCUUCGUGCUUAACCAUGUCGCUAUUCCCCUACACAACAGGUUUUGUUUCAGGAUGGACUGAUAUCAAAAUCAGAUCUAUCAUCAACUCUACAAGUGCGAAUUAUUCAACUUCCGAAGCAGGCCUGCAUUCGCAUAAAUACUCGCGUUGUUCUGUUUUUACAUUUCAUUAUUUAUUGGGUCAGCACAGAAUUGUGUUUGUAGAAUUAGAACACGGGAUUAGAAAGGUGACCGAGGCCAAUUACUCAAAUGAAUCAAUAUAGGAUACAAGUUGAAUCGAUUCGUUCCCACAUCCGAAAACCUAAACAAAUCGGAAGUCUCUUGAGAAUGAUAUUUUAAGUAUGUUUGUCCGCACAAUCAUUAGCACAUGUUGUGUUACCUAGAUACAGGUACAUGACAAAUCAUCCCCCAGCAAACAUAAUGAAAAUAUACCAAAUAAUACAAUUUUAGAUUCUGGGAGUAGUCUCUCUGGCUAGGGGGUCAUUGGCUUUUGUAUUUUUUACGACAAACCUAAUUUUUUACUGUCAAAAUAAUGAUGUUAAGUUAUGUUUUUUGUUUAAUUUAAUCAGAUGUUCUGAGUAUGCCUACCUCCAGUUUUCAACCAAUCAUGUAGGCCUAAUUUUUAUGAGACCACGCGGCACGUCUCUCUACAAUUAAUCCUAAACUCUGCUGCUUAAUUCUUUGCAACUUCUUUUUGUGUAAAUUUAUAAUGAUGACGAUUUCUUUCUGUUUCAUUUUUUUUUAAACACGAUAUAGUUGUUAAAAUAGAACUAGUUUAGUCCUAAUAAUUCAUUCAUUAGAAACCCUUGUUUGUAUAUUUUUGUAGCAAAGUUAUAUGAUACUGUGUUUAGUUAUCAAUAUUGUGAGUGAAAUAAAAUUUGAUUUAUUAUUAAA
rnacentral:lncRNA from 1 species